rnacentral:rRNA from 1 species
AUUGAACGCUGGCGGCAGGCUUAACACAUGCAAGUCGAGCGGAGAUGAGGUGCUUGCACCUUAUCUUAGCGGCGGACGGGUGAGUAAUGCUUAGGAAUCUGCCUAUUAGUGGGGGACAACAUUCCGAAAGGAAUGCUAAUACCGCAUACGUCCUACGGGAGAAAGCAGGGGAUCUUCGGACCUUGCGCUAAUAGAUGAGCCUAAGUCGGAUUAGCUAGUUGGUGGGGUAAAGGCCUACCAAGGCGACGAUCUGUAGCGGGUCUGAGAGGAUGAUCCGCCACACUGGGACUGAGACACGGCCCAGACUCGUACGGGAUGUAGCAGUGGGGAACAUUGGACAAUGGGGGGAACCCUGAUCCAGCCAUGCCGCGUGUGUGAAGAAGGCCUUAUGGUUGUAAAGCACUUUAAGCGAGGAGGAGGCUACUGAGACUAAUACUCUUGGAUAGUGGACGUUACUCGCAGAAUAAGCACCGGCUAACUCUGUGCCAGCAGCCGCCGUAA